CCUACGGGAGGCAGCAGUGAGGAAUAUUGGUCAAUGGACGAGAGCCUGAACCAGCCAAGCAGCGUGAAGGACGACUGCCCUACGGGUUGUAAACUUCUUUUAUAUGGGAAUAAAAUGUUCCACGUGUGGGGUUUUGUAUGUACCAUACGAAUAAGGAUCGGCUAACUCCGUGCCAGCAGCCGCGGUAAUACGGAGGAUCCGAGCGUUAUCCGGAUUUAUUGGGUUUAAAGGGUGCGUAGGUGGAUUGUUAAGUUAGUUGUGAAAGUUUGCGGCUCAACCGUAAAAUUGCAGUUGAUACUGGCAGUCUUGAGUACAGUAGAGGUGGGCGGAAUGCGUGGUGUAGCGGUGAAAUGCUUAGAUAUCACGAAGAACUCCGAUUGCGAAGGCAGCUCACUGGACUGCAACUGACACUGAGGCUCGAAAGUGUGGGUAUCAAACAGGAUUAGAUACCCUGGUAGUC
rnacentral:rRNA from 1 species